rnacentral:rRNA from 1 species
UACGUAGGGUGCGAGCGUUGUCCGGAAUUAUUGGGCGUAAAGGGCUCGUAGGCGGUUUGUCGCGUCGGGUGUGAAAUCCACUGGCUUAACUGGUGGCUUGCUUUCGAUACGGGCAGACUGGAGGUAUGCAGGGGAGAACGGAAUUCCUGGUGUAGCGGUGAAAUGCGCAGAUAUCAGGAAGAACACCCGUGGCGAAGGCGGCUCUCUAGUACGGUACUGACGCUGAGGUGCGAAAGCGUGGGGAGCAAACAGG